ACCCUCCAGAUUCUUGUCCCUCUGAUCUAAAUAUUGGUCUGAGUGGCGAUAAAAGGAGGAAAAGUAAAAUUGAAGUGGACUUGGAGUCUUGAAUGACUUAAAAGUUCAUUUCAAACAUAA
ensembl:snoRNA